GCUUGGUCCGAGGGUAGUGACGUUUAUAAUUGAUUGAUCACAACCAGUUACAGAUUUCUUUGUUCCUUCUCCACUCCCACUACUUCACUUGAACAGCUGUC
rnacentral:Y_RNA from 1 species